UGAACAAACAGACAUUCAAUUAUUAGUCUGAUAGUCUAGUUAGUUUAAAAAAUAUUGAGUUGCAUAUAACUUUCAGGUGAGCAACAAACAAAAAUCUCUAUAACCACAUACUUGUUAUUGGAGAGUGAACAGUUGUUAUUUCACGUAUCUUACCUUCAUAGACAAUAGAGGAAAACUUCAACUCCAUUAUUGACGCUAUCUCCAUUGCAAGAUUCAGGAAAGAAUUUCUGUUGAGAACCAGUGAAAAAACUAUUAUUAAAAAUACAAGACCACAUGAUGAAGCACGUACUAUUUCAUUUUUCAGUCCUACAGUGUAACAUCAAGAAACAAGCGCUAAUUAAUUCAAGAAUUACAUCAUAACUUUCAGGUGAGAACCAAAUAAAAGUUCCUAUUUCAUUUUUCAGUCCCACGGUGUAACAUCAAGAAAGAGCGCUAAUUAAUUCAAGAAUUACAUCAUAACUUUCAGGUGAGAAAUAAAUAAAAGUCCCUAUAACCACUUGCUUGUUCUUGGUGGAUCAAAAUUUAAAACAUGAAGGCAAGUUGCAAGUUGUCAAUAGGAUCUGGACAACACAUGAAGCUUCCACCGUUCAGCUGUGUGUGUGAGAGAGAAAAAGAGGGAGAGGAUGGCUAACAAGAUGAUAGAUUUGAUGCGACGAAUGGGGGUGAAGAGGGUGGGUACCUGUGGUUGAGUGCUCCCCGUCCCACGGUAGUGUUUACUGGCUCUUGGCAUUGAUGAAGAGAAGAAGAGGGGGGAGGGGGGGGGGUCAGCACAAUAGAGGAAUAGAAAAAGAAAAAAGAACACUGAAUAAUAGAUACUGAUUUUUUCUUGUAUUUGUAGGCUGUAACACAGCAAAAGAGGGCUCAGUUUUGUCUUUGAUCUUCAAGCCUAACACUCACAUCUCUUGCUGCAUGACAUACCCAUCACAAUGUAAACGAACUGCCCUGGUUAUCACUCGUCAGAAUGACUAUCUGAGGCGCAGAACAUCCAACAUAAAGCUUAGAAAGAUCGAGGAGGCCAGAUUUAAGCAUUAUAUCAAGUGUUGUUCUAACCUGGCUUGUUCGCAAAUAUUCACAGCUAUGACUCUGCAUCAUCUAAGAAAGCACUUUCUCAAGUGUUGUUCUAACCUGACUUAUUCGCAAAUAUUCACAGCUAUAACUUUGCAUCAUCUAAGAAAGCAUUUUCUCUAAUAUGUAUUACGAAAAACUGAACCUUGAGGAACAGAGUGGAAUGAAUCAAUUCAUCAUAGACACUGCGUAUUAGCAAAUCAUGUAGAUGCACCUCCCACUCCACUUUCUUAUAAGUGCUUCUCAAAUUGAAGAAAAAGGAAGAUCCUAAACUCUAAAAUUGAACCGAACCUUUUGAUUUCCUCGUCAGAUUGCAUGCGUGAGCAUAAACAUCCGGCCCAUGCAUCUAAAUACUACUAAACUCCUAUCCACGGAUAAAUUGCAAACUGGAGCAAGGUAUGCUAAAAUUCAUUUAGCAAGUGACCAAACACAUGGUCAGACCAAAACAAUCAAUUGGCUAUGCCGACGUAUACCUAGCAAUCUAACAGAAAAGGUCCAAAAAGGAGGAGAAGAGGGAUUAACCUGUAGAUCAAUGAAUGUAGACGCAACGGGGUCAAUCGGGUCAGACUAAAGGAGGCACCAGCAAGAGCGGACGGAUCGAUCUGCAAGGAAAACAAGGGGCAAUCAAAGAGGAGGAGCAGCCAACGGUGGCCAAGGAGAGGGCACAACAUACACUGUAAGUGCAUCCAGUGCCCCUUAGUGAUUUCGGUGGUUUGAAGACUUAUAGGUUAAAUAUCUAAUGUGUUUAUAAGUGUACACAUGAUCUAUAAGUCAUUGAGGAGUUUGAGAUAUUUGAAGAAUAUCGACCCCUAAAAAUAUAUGUCUUCAGUUGAAGAAAUUGGUCUGAAGCUGAAGAAAUGAAUCGCGAAGAAUUUGCGAUGAAAUUGAUAUUCCUCAUGAAGAUAUUGAUAUUGAGAAGAUCGGUGGUUCCUGAAGAAAAUCGUUCUGAAGAAAUUGAAGCAUGAAGAUUUACGUUUUCUAUUUUACUUUCUUCGCAUUUGAUGAAUAGGAACACCGUACUGUUAAAGGGGGUGAAAGUAACGCUAUGGAAUGAAUUUCCUCAUGAUGCUCAACCCAAACCAAAUCCUACCAAAAGCCUCAAGUGAGGAAUAUGACUGACAUGAGGACUCUCACAGUUGAGGGUCCCGACCGUUUCGAUAGCCACGCCAAGUCACUGGUCUUAUCCACUCCAACGGUCAUAUUAUUUAAAGGCAUUAAUGUCAAAUCAUGUCGGGAUGCUCCCAGGCUAUAAAUAGCCGCCCCCCACAACCACUAGCUGGUUGGCUGCUCCGUUAGAAACUGACACUUGUCAUAAGAGCAACCCAAAUUCCUCAGAGCUUUCGAGAGUAAAUCAUCAGUGAGGAAAUACACCACCCACCGAAACCACAAACCAAAACUAGUGAUUGAGCAUCACUGAAGAAGUUGUUCCUGUGUGGGACUGAAGCCUUUUACCUUUGAGGACUGUGCAUCCUCCAGACGGUUAGACGUCAUGGUCUAGAGCAAUCCAGCAGUCAAUUGUGGAUCGCCGGGUGACCGAGUUUGUGAGGGUUUGGAAGUCUGCCCUGAAGACUUACCAUGAGUGUUGGGCGAGGACUGUGUGUCCUUAGCUCAAGGAGAAUGCUGUAGGGACUGUGUGUCCUUUGGUUUCAAUACCAAGCCGCUCCAAACCAGAUGUACAACUGUCACAACAGUUGGAACUGGGUCAUCAACAACAGUCUUCUCCAAGAAUCGGGUUCUAAUUCCUCAACUCUUUACUUUCUCUGUAUUAUGUGUUGAUGACUUUCACUGUGACUAUUUGAAGAAUUUGCUGAAGACUUUCUCUGAAUUUCCUCAACCCCAAAUUCUUCACUUGAGUUAAUCAUCAUCUGUAUUCUGCGUGCCUGCUUACUGUGCAAUCUGUUUUCACAUUCUUCACUCUGUAAUACUGCUAUUGUGAAAGUUUGCACGUCUGAUCCGUAACCGUUUCCGCUGUAAGUUAGUCGUCAGUGAGGAAUUUCCUCAAAAGGAAUUUCCUCAGUGAUGAAAUUCUAAAAAUCUCCUAUUCACCCCCCCUCUAGUCGAUAUAACGCACUUUCAUACACAUACCUGUAAGUCAACGACCACAUCAACAGAUCGACGACCCCAGCAACAGAUCCAGCGGAGUGACUAAAUUAGAUGGGACCUGCACGCAAACAAGAUCAUGGAUCAACGAAGAACUGCGUGGAAAACCAACGGGCAGCAAGGAAAGGCAACUCACCUCAACCGGCGCCACCUUGCCCCGCUUUUCCCUGUUGCGCGCGUCCUAUCCUGCUGUGGCAUCGACGAGCGCGCGUCCAGCCAUGACCACCUCGCCUCACCACUCCCCAUCCGUGUGGCUGCUCCUCCACGACUCGGGCAGAAGGGAGGCAGGAAGAGGUAGCGGCUUGGGCCGGAGAGAACGACGACGGAGGAGCGGCCAGGCUCGAGCUCGGCCACGGCCGCCGCUGCGCUCACACGCCCGGCUCGAGCUCGUCCAUGGCUGCCGCUGCUCCCGGCGAUGGGGACGCUCGAGGUUGACGGGGGAGCAGAGACGCUACCGCCGGUGGCGGCCCCUCCAGAGUGCAAGAGGAUGAGCGACGGGGAGGGGGUGAAUGGGGAGGGUGGCGGACGCGAUCUAGGGUUUGGAGAGAAAUCUAUUAUGCAUACAUGUGAUCUUUUCUGUGAGCUGACGAGGUCGCUGGUGGAGGAUUAAGGGCGGGGAAACGCCGUUCGUGGCAAGGACCGUGGCCACCGUGGCCAUGAGGCGGACGAGAAGGGCGACGAGAGGCAUGGAUUGGCCAUGCUGAUAUGAGGGUCGGCGAGGAGGGGAGCGGCAGGAGCGAUGGGGUGGGGGAAGUUGGGGGCUGGGAGUUGGAUGCGUCGUGCGGGGGAGGUGCCAGCAGAUUUUCCAACCGCAGAGGAAGAAAGAGAUUUUUUAAAAUUAAAUCGACUGGUUUUUGAAGGGUUGAAUAAAAAUCGGUGGUGGAACGUGGGUGGGAGGGUAGCGAGUGUAUGAGGUCGAACCAUCACGACGAAGGCAGAUCCUCCUUUAAGGCCGCGAUUGGAAUGUUGGAUUUCUUUUCCGACUGUAAAUGUUUACGCUUGUAUCUUACUAGCAUCUAGUAAAAUCCGGUUGUAUUUCUUUUCCGGAUGUAAACGCUGUUGUAUAUCCGAUGUAAACACUGCUGUAUAAUCCAGAUGUAAACACUGCUGUAUAA
rnacentral:lncRNA from 1 species